UAAGCGGAGGAAAAGAAACUAACAAGGAUUCCCCUAGUAACGGCGAGUGAAGCGGGAAGAGCUCAAAUUUAAAAUCUGGGAGUCUACGAUUGUCCGAAUUGUAAUCUCGAGAAGUGUUUUCCGCGUUGGCCUGUGUACAAGUCCCUUGGAACAGGGCGUCAUAGAGGGUGAGAAUCCCGUCCUUGACACAGACACCCAAUGCUUUGUGAUACACUCUCAAUGAGUCGAGUUGUUUGGGAAUGCAGCUCAAAAUGGGUGGUAAAUUCCAUCUAAAGCUAAAUACUGGCGAGAGACCGAUAGCGAACAAGUACCGUGAGGGAAAGAUGAAAAGCACUUUGGAAAGAGAGUCAAACAGUACGUGAAAUUGUUGAAAGGGAAACGAUUGAAGUCAGUCGUGCCUGCCUAGAUUCAGCCUUCUGGUGUAUUUCUAGGUCGGCAGGUCAGCAUCAGUUUGGGGGGGUUAACAAGGGAGUUAGGAAUGUAGCAACCUCGGUUGUGUUAUAGCCUAGCUUCGCAUUGAUCUCGCUGGACUGAGGAACGCAGUGCGCCCGCAAGGUUGGUCUUCGGACACAUUCGCACUUAGGAUGCUGGCAUAAUGGCUUUAAACGACCCGUCUUGAAACACG
rnacentral:rRNA from 1 species